rnacentral:lncRNA from 1 species
UUUCGGAAAAAUUUUACAAUAUGGUUAUGAUGUAUCAUUAACAUCAGUUGAAAUUGCUUACUUCUAUUCAAAGCUUUCUUUUUCUCGGAACAAAAGUGAAAUUACUUUUAUGUCGAGGGGAGGGCUGGUUUAUAGUGUUGGCACUGCUGGAUAAGUGAUGAUCUUGUAAUCUAUCCCUGAAGUAUUAUGCAUCACAACAUAAUAAUAUUGAUUUUUUUUCAAUAUUGUGAUUUAAUAUGUUGUUAACCUUUUUAUUUUCUUUUUUAUAGUUUUAACUUUUUGGGUUCACGAGUAGGUUGGUAUAAUUAAUUUACAUUAUAUGUCGUCUUUACAUUUAAUUUAUCCUCCUCUCCACAGUUAUAAUUUUGUCGACUAACCUUUAUUCCUUAACUUUUUAUUGCCGAACUUUUUAGCUUUUCUGUUGUGUGAUUUGGUUUUGCUUUUUUAUUUUUUUAUUUUUUUGUUAUGUGAUUUGCUUUUGCUUUUUAAUUUGUUUUUUUGUCAUGUGAUUUGAUUUUGCUAAUUUUAAAUUUCUUUUCUUUU